UACGUGGGGGGCAAGCGUUGUUCGGAAUUACUGGGCGUAAAGGGCUCGUAGGCGGCCAACUAAGUCCGACGUGAAAUCCCAAGGCUUAACCUUGGAACUGCGUCGGAUACUGGAUGGCUUGAAUUCGGGAGAGGGAUGCAGAAUUCCAGGUGUAGCGGUGAAAUGCGUAGAUAUCUGGAGGAAUACCGGUGGCGAAGGCGGCAUCCUGGACCGACAUUGACGCUGAGGAGCGAAAGCUAGGGGAGCAAACGGG
rnacentral:rRNA from 1 species